GAGAGUUUGAUCCUGGCUCAGAUUGAACGCUGGCGGCAGGCCUAACACAUGCAAGUCGAGCGGAUGAAAGGAGCUUGCUCCUGGAUUCAGCGGCGGACGGGUGAGUAAUGCCUAGGAAUCUGCCUGGUAGUGGGGGACAACGUUUCGAAAGGAACGCUAAUACCGCAUACGUCCUACGGGAGAAAGCAGGGGACCUUCGGGCCUUGCGCUAUCAGAUGAGCCUAGGUCGGAUUAGCUAGUUGGUGAGGUAAUGGCUCACCAAGGCGACGAUCCGUAACUGGUCUGAGAGGAUGAUCAGUCACACUGGAACUGAGACACGGUCCAGACUCCUACGGGAGGCAGCAGUGGGGAAUAUUGGACAAUGGGCGAAAGCCUGAUCCAGCCAUGCCGCGUGUGUGAAGAAGGUCUUCGGAUUGUAAAGCACUUUAAGUUGGGAGGAAGGGUUGUAGAUUAAUACUCUGCAAUUUUGACGUUACCGACAGAAUAAGCACCGGCUAACUCUGUGCCAGCAGCCGCGGUAAUACAGAGGGUGCAAGCGUUAAUCGGAAUUACUGGGCGUAAAGCGCGCGUAGGUGGUUCGUUAAGUUGGAUGUGAAAUCCCCGGGCUCAACCUGGGAACUGCAUCCAAAACUGGCGAGCUAGAGUAUGGUAGAGGGGUAAUGGAAUUUCCUGUGUAGCGGUG
rnacentral:rRNA from 1 species